AUUGAACGCUGGCGGCAGGCCUAACACAUGCAAGUCGAACGCGUGGCGGACGGGUGAGUAAUGUCUGUGACACUGCCUGAUGGAGGGGGAUAACUACUGGACACGGUAGCUAAUACCGCAUACCAUCGGAUGUGCCCAGAUGGGAUUAGCUAGUAGGGGGGGUAACGUCUCACCUAGGCGACGAUCCCUAGCUGGUCUGAGAGGAUGACCAGCCACACUGGAACUGAGACACGGUCCAGACUCCUACGGGAGGCAGAAGUGGGGAAUAUUGCACAAUGGGCGCAAGCCUGAUGCAGCCAUGCCGCGUGUAUGAAGAAGGCCUUCGGGUUGUAAAGUACUUUCAGCGGGGAGGCGUUACCAACAGAAUAAGCACCGGCUAACUUCGUGCCAGCAGCCGCGGUAAUAC
rnacentral:rRNA from 1 species